AUUACAUCAAAAAUAUUGCGUGAAGCAUGGGAUAAGCUGCACUUGUUAAAAAUUUGGAUUUUUAACUAUUAACCCAGCUUGAUUCUAGUCCAACCUUAUUGAUCAAAUCGAACACCUUUACAAUUUCGUGGUGACUGGUGACAAACAUUAUCCUCACUACCUGCUCAUAGUUCUCUACGGUCACAAGGCGCAAAAUGAUCAUAUAUUCAAGAAUAGGUCAAGAGAUUAUGGUGAUAGUGGAUGAAAUAAAGGUAGUGCCUUGGAAGUGGAAUCUCGCCCGCCUAAAAGGGAGUCCAUGUCUUUUCUAUGAAUGGUGUUGGGAUCGUGGAAAAUGUGUCAAGAGACAAAAGGUGAAGGUUUUUUCUAUGUUCUGUUUUCAUGUGGCAGCGACUGUUUGUGCUAGUACAGAUGGGUGCUUUUUGUUUUCCUUCCCCUUGCGUUUUGCGGAACCUGCUGCUGUUUGUGGGGAAGUGUUUUCAUGUUUUUCUGUGUUUUGUUUUAGCAGGGGCAUGCUUCUGUUGUUGUUUUCUUGUUGUAAGUUGGGGGCCAUCUGUUUUGGCAGCUAUCCCUGUUUAUUUUACGGGUUUUUUCAGGGUUGUUCCACAUAUAGGCGGUGCUUUUGUUUUGUUUCCUCAGCUAGCCUUUGCGCGUCUUGUGUAGUCUUGGUCUCUAAUAAAUUUUCGCCGUUUCGUAAAGAAAAAAACACAGUUACAAAUACUAUUUAGCCUAUUUGCAGAUGCAAAACUUAGAUUAUAAGUAUGUAUGUGCAUGUUGAACAUGGGGAUAUUGAUUUAUAGCUAAACCUUCACAUAAGUAUAGAAGAAUGUAUUAUGAGUUUCCUUAGAUAUAUUUUUUCCUUUCUUAAGAUGGUGUUCAUUGCUUCCACCACUUCAUCAUUUGUAUCGAAAACUGAAUUAUCAAUACAUAUUACUUUUAUUUAUCUACACAAAUUUUAGUGCUGACUUGAAUUUAUUUAUUUUUGAACAUCAAAUAAAAUUUCAAUUAAUCCAAUCCUAGCACAAGACGAACGGGAAUUGUGUCCAAAAUUACAAAUACAAACUACAUGAGCCGAUAAACAGCCAAUCUUCAAAUAAAGCAUAUGACAGAUACACCACGCUCACUUGAAACAGAACAACAACGGAAAUUGCCCCAAAGCCAAAAACAAAGCCUAAUAAUACUAAGCCACAGAAAAGCAUCAGAAGCUAAAUACUAACGGAACAAAGCUCAGCAGAAGUCACAAAACUGUAGAACCAAAUAUAGCAGCCUUAGAAUGCAUUGCAGCAAGUACAAAAAGCCACUAUGCGGUACAAAAUCUGCAGAUCGAAAAACCACCACUUAAAGCCAAACCUGCCAACGCACCACACCACCGCUCAAAAUCAAAACUGGCACAACAGUCCAAACGGAUUUGGAGUGACCAGGACAAUAAACCAAGGCAGAACACAAAAAUAAUGCAACAGAACACCACUGACUCAAAUAAUACAAACUGAUGCAGCAGAUGGAAGAAACAAACUGCAGGCGAACCAACCAGAUUACUCCAGAGAAAAACAUAAACGCGGACACAGGCUAGAAGAACAACCAAGCAGCAGCCUCUGUGCCUCACAAUUCUGAGUCUGGAGAACUUCCUUUGGAGAUGAGAAAUAUCUAUGAAAUAUCUCAUUGUUUGACAAUCAGUUCUCAGGAGGCAUACCUCAAAGCUUGGGAAUCAACAGCAGCAUUGUGAAGUUAGACUGUACUAUUGUAACUGAAUAUUUUUUUUUUAAAAAAUACAAUCCUUCUUCCUACUACAUCACGUUUAGAUGGACGGACUGCGUUGCUUGUUAAUACCGAGCUACCAUUCAUUUUGCUUUUAAUUAUUUGGACUGCUUGUUU